rnacentral:rRNA from 1 species
UCCGGUUGAUCCUGCCAGAGGCCACUGCUAUGGGGGUCCGACUAAGCCAUGCGAGUCAUGGGGCGCCUUGCGCGCACCGGCGGACGGCUCAGUAACACGUCGGUAACCUACCCUCGGGAGGGGGAUAACCCCGGGAAACUGGGGCUAAUCCCCCGUAGGCCUGAGGUACUGGAAGGUCCUCAGGCCGAAAGGGUCUUUGACCGCCCGAGGAUGGGCCGGCGGCCGAUUAGGUAGUUGGUGGGGUAACGGCCCACCAAGCCGAAGAUCGGUACGGGCCAUGAGAGUGGGAGCCCGGAGAUGGACACUGAGACACGGGUCCAGGCCCUACGGGGCGCAGCAGGCGCGAAACCUCCGCAAUGCUCGAAAGAGCGACGGGGGGACCCCCAGUGCCGUGGCAUCGCCACGGCUUUUCCGGAGUGUAAAGAGCUCCGGGAAUAAGGGCUGGGCAAGGCCGGUGGCAGCCGCCGCGGUAAUACCGGCGGCCCGAGUGGUGGCCGCUAUUAUUGGGCCUAAAGCGUCCGUAGCCGGGCCAGUAAGUCCCUGGCGAAAUCCCACGGCUCAACCGUGGGGCUUGCUGGGGAUACUGCUGGCCUUGGGACCG